CCUACGGGUGGCAGCAGUGAGGAAUAUUGGUCAAUGGACGGGAGUCUGAACCAGCCAAGUAGCGUGAAGGAUGACUGCCCUAUGGGUUGUAAAUUUUUUUUAUAUGGGAAUAAAAUGUUCCACGUGUGGGAUUUUGUAUGUACGAUAUGUAUAAGGAUCGGCUAACUCCGUGCCAGCAGCCGCGGUAAUACGGUGGAUCCGAGCGUUACCCGGAUUUAUUGGGUUUAAAGGGAGCGUAGGUGGAUUGUUAAGUCAGUUGUGAAAGCUUGCGGCUUAACCGUAAAAUUGCAGUUGAAACUGGGAGGCUUGAGUACAGUAGAGGUGGGCAGAAUUCGUGGUGUAGCGGUGAAAUGCUUAGAUAUCACGAAGAACUCCGAAUGCGAAGGCAGCUCACUGGACUGCAACUGACACUGAGGCUCGAAAGUGUGGGUAUCAAACAGGAUUAGAUACCCUUGUAGUC
rnacentral:rRNA from 1 species